AUUGAACGCUGGCGGCAGGCUUAACACAUGCAAGUCGAGCGAGCGGCGGACGGGUGAGUAAUGUCUGGGAAACUGCCUGAUGGAGGGGGAUAACUACUGGAAACGGUAGCUAAUACCGCAUACCAUCGGAUGUGCCCAGAUGGGCUUAGCUAGUAGGUGGGGUAACGGCUCCCCUAGGCGACGAUCCCUAGCUGGUAUGAGAGGAUGACCGGCCACACUGGAACUGAGACACGGUCCAUACUCCUACGGGAGGCCGCAGUGGGGAAUAUUGCACAGUGGGCGCAAGCCUGAUGCAGCCAGGCCGAGUGUAUGAAGAAGGCCUUCGGGUUGUAAUGUACUUUCAGCGAGGGGGCGUUACUCGCAGAAGAAGCACCGGCUAACUCCGUGCCAGCAGCCGCGGUAAUAC
rnacentral:rRNA from 1 species